GGGGUUGUGGCUCAGUGGUAGAGCGCUUGCCUAGCAUGUGUGAGGUACUGAGUUCGAUUCUCACCAUCACA
rnacentral:tRNA from 1 species